rnacentral:lncRNA from 1 species
CAUGAUAUUUUCAUCUUAAAAACACCUAAAACAUUCCUACACAGGUAUGACUGAUCAAGACAUCAUCAACAUUUUUCCCUUGUUAUGUUAUUGUUCCUCCACUUAUUCAUCAUUAUCAGCUCUGCAUCAGGAAAACUUCGUGUUCAAAGAAUCUCCGUAAAUAUGUUGAUGGGCUAUCUCCAUUGAGAUAGCGUCGUUAAAAUACAACGCAGUAAAUAUGUUGAUGGGCUAUCUCCAUUGAGAUAGCAUCGUUAAAAUACAUUGCUACUCUCUUUCACGGGAUCGUGACUGACCCUUUCAUCUCCUGACUCGUGGCUGGAAUACAAUGCUACUCUCGUUCGCAGCAGCGGACUUGCUUUCUUUCUUUCCAUCGUCACCGGAUCUUGAUCCCCCUGUUUGUUGCUACUUUGCUGGCCAGGCACGAAACAACAGCUGGAAGAUUUUGCCUGCCAGCCACAUCAGGCCUACACCCUUGGAAGCAUCAUAAGAUCCCUUCUCUGAGAGCGAUGAUGGUUGGUCCGUAACGUGUGCUCAACCCCUGGAAGCAUCAUAAGAUCCCUUCUCUAGGAGCGAUGAUGGUUGGUCCGUAACGUGUGCUCCAUAAGGAGCCCACGAGUUGCCGCUCCUCCUCGGCAGCUCCGAGAUCUUCAGCCACUGAUACCCUCGAUACGUCGCUGAAAGACUUCCUUCAGUUUGUUUUCUUUGGCUACAACAGUGCUACCACCGG